UACCUCGUCAUGGUGAAGGAACAGGAAACUGUCCUAAAUCAUUCCUUUGAAUGUUUUGCACACCUAAAGCGAGGUAUU
rnacentral:ncRNA from 19 species